rnacentral:sRNA from 1 species
AUGGCAGGGGUGGGGGACCCAUUCUUGUGGGCACCGGAGACGGUGCCCUUGGGGUGAAGCCGGACGGACCUCGGUCCGCACGGCCGGGUAGAGCUUUCUCCGACCCGAACCCGACAGCUGACCUCUCAGGCGUCCAGGAGA